GAAACAACGUUAUUUGAAUAUCACCAUCCUCUUGGCUGGAGUCCCAGAAGCAAGUGAACUCAUGAAACACAUCACCCCAGCCAAAAAGAAAAUAGCUCGACCAACUCCUAUGGCCCAACCAGGCACAGCAUAGACAGUGAAUAGAAAGCCACAUUAUCUUCCCUGAAGCAC
rnacentral:lncRNA from 1 species